rnacentral:lncRNA from 1 species
GGAUGAAGCAUUGCAAAGCCGGAGGGGAACACGAGAUCACUGAGUCCACGGACACUGCGUUUCUCUCCAGGAGGCUGGGGGAUCUGCAAGAGAGCCAGGAGGAAGCACCAGCAUCUCCAUCCUGGGCAGUCUUUCUCGGAAGAUGCAGCCACUCCUGCUCCUGGUGGCCUUUCUCCUGACCCCCAAGGCAAAGGCAGGGGAGAUCAUCGGGGGCCAUGAAGCCAAGCCCCACUCCCGCCCCUACAUGGCGUAUCUUCAGUACUGGAAUCAGGAUGUCCAGAGUAGGUGUGGUGGUUUCCUGGUUCGAGAGGACUUCGUGCUGACAGCCGCUCACUGCCAUGGAAGCUGGAGAGAAAGGCCAAGCAGACAUCAGCUGAGCCCCUUAGGCUGCCCAGGGCCAAGGCCCGGGUGA